rnacentral:rRNA from 1 species
ACUGCUCAGUAACACGUGAGUGACCUGUCCUUUCGAGUGGGGGAUAACAGCGAGAAAUCGUUGCUAAUACCGCAUGUGGUGGCAAGCGUAGAAGCUUGUCACUAAAGCAUGCAAGUGCGCUUGAGGAGGGGCUCGCGGCCGAUUAGCUAGUUGGUGGGGUAAAGGCUCACCAAGGCGAUGAUCGGUAGCUGGUCUGAGAGGAUGAUCAGCCAGACUGGGACUGAGACACGGCCCAGACUCCUACGGGAGGCAGCAGUUAGGAAUUUUGCACAAUGGGCGCAAGCCUGAUGCAGCAACGCCGCGUGGGCGAUGAAGGUCUUCGGAUCGUAAAGCCCUUUUCUAGGGGAAGAGCAAGGACGGUACCCUAGGAAUAAGCCUCGGCUAACUACGUGCCAGCAGCCGCGGUAAUACGUAGGAGGCGAGCGUUGUCCGGAUUUAUUGGGCGUAAAGAGCGCGUAGGCGGCCUGGCAAGUUGGGUGUGAAAUCCCUUGGCUUAACUGGGGGGGGUCAUCCGAUACUGCCAAGCUUGAGGCAGGCAGAGGAAGGUAGAAUUCCCGGUGUAGUGGUGAAAUGCGUAGAUAUCGGGAGGAAUACCAGUGGCGAAGGCGGCCUUCUGGGCCUGUUCUGACGCUGAGGCGCGAAAGCGUGGGGAGCGAACCGGAUUAGAUACCCGGGUAGUCCACGCAGUAAACGAUGGACACUAGGUGUGGGGGGUAUCGACCCCUCCUGUGCCGAAGCUAACGCAUUAAGUGUCCCGCCUGGGGAGUACGGCCGCAAGGCUAAACCUCAAAGGAAUUGGCGGGGGAGCAC